rnacentral:rRNA from 1 species
GUGGGGAAUAUUGGACAAUGGGCGAAAGCCUGAUCCAGCCAUGCCGCGUGUGUGAAGAAGGUCUUCGGAUUGUAAAGCACUUUAAGUUGGGAGGAAGGGCAGUAAGUUAAUACCUUGCUGUUUUGACGUUACCAACAGAAUAAGCACCGGCUAACUUCGUGCCAGCAGCCGCGGUAAUACGAAGGGUGCAAGCGUUAAUCGGAAUUACUGGGCGUAAAGCGCGCGUAGGUGGUUUUGUAAGUUGGAGGUGAAAUCCCCGGGCUCAACCUGGGAACUGCAUCCAAAACUGCAUGGCUAGAGUACGGUAGAGGGUAGUGGAAUUUCCUGUGUAGCGGUGAAAUGCGUAGAUAUAGGAAGGAACACCAGUGGCGAAGGCGACUACCUGGACUGAUACUGACACUGAGGUGCGAAAGCGUGGGGAGCAAACAGGAUUAGAAACCCCGGUAGUCC